AUCAAGUUGCGAUACAGCUGACUCCCAGUUCCAGCUAAUCGUACCUCAAGGCAGUCCGCUAGGCAAAAUGCUAGCCUCUGAGAAUCAUCCCCACUUGUUGAAGCAUGUUGCCUGAUGAUGCUCAGUAUGUCAUUUGCUAAGGUAUGAUUAUUUACAGAUACUGCUUCUGCACAAUGAAUAAGGAGGGUUCUGAGAUCCACCACCUCUUUCCUCUGUUGCUUCUUACCUUUUUUCUUUCGCUGAGCUGAUGUUCUUCCCUGAUCAGUCUGUGAGUUGAUGGUUGAUUUACUUGCCAUAGCUUCUUGUAAAAUAAUACCUUGAUCUAUGAGUUCAUGGUCAGAGCAGAGUAGAACCUUAUCGAAAAUCUCGUUUCGAGUCGGCUCAUUGAAAGAAGUGGCAAACUGCUUGUUACUCCUUCCUUCUAAUAAAUCAAAGUCUUCCUUGCACGAAUUCAUUUUCUGACACUGAACCUCAAAUAAUGCAUGCUUUCUUGACUCUCUAUCAUUGAUCUGAAGUGAUUGGUUAUCUCUGCUAGUCUUUUCGACAAUGGAAAGGCCACCAACAUUCAAACCAAGCUCCAUUGUGUAUGUAUCCUGAGUGAACUGUCUUGUCUCUCCAACAAUUGCAGACAAACUCCAUGGAGCUUCAAAAGCUUGCAAGUCGUCAUUGUAGCGGUUAUUGCCUGAGCUAAUAGCUACAGAGAAGCUACUGCAUGGCUGCCCAUUACUGAUGCUGCCAUCAAGAGUCUUCAUGUGAUCAGAGCUACAGAGUGGUAGUAGUUGAGUAUUCGCUGGAUAAUUUUGUCCAAUAAGUCUAUACAAUGGCUCCUCCAUAGCUCUAAGUGCAGACUCACCAUGAUGUGGUUUAAAUUUGUCAUCGCUGUCCUCCUCCAUCAACAGCUUGUUUAUGUAUCUGAGGGUUAUAUCUGAGUUGAUCCAACUGUCCUCUGAAUAUUCUGCUACAUUGGUUCCAUGCCAAUCUGGUGUCAUAUUGCUACUCACUCCAUGGAAUUGGGGAGCAUAUAUUUUAUUCGAAGAGGAUGCGCUCAAUGCAACGUGACCAUCAUUGUUAAUCGUAGUUGCCACUGGUGGAUAAUGGUUAAUGGAGCUUGCUGGGUGCGAAAGUAAAUCCAAAUCAUUAUACUCGGUAGUUGGAUCGAUGAAUUUCUGAGAAGAGGCAUAGCACCCAGGAGUAUUUGCCAUGCUGCUUGGGAAGUCCUCAAAGUUACAAUUAAAUCUGUCGUUGCACUCCAUUGGUUGGGUGUUUGAUCAUUGCAGAAUGUUGUACCGCCCCGUACACAAGAUUGUCUAGAACUGCAUUGUAAACAAUGAACUUAGUAUGUGAAAAUGAAAAUUGAUG
rnacentral:lncRNA from 1 species